CGUAGGGUGCAAGCGUUGUCCGGAAUUAUUGGGCGUAAAGAGCUCGUAGGCGGUUUGUCGCGUCUGCUGUGAAAACCCGAGGCUCAACCUCGGGCUUGCAGUGGGUACGGGCAGACUAGAGUGCGGUAGGGGAGAUUGGAAUUCCUGGUGUAGCGGUGGAAUGCGCAGAUAUCAGGAGGAACACCGAUGGCGAAGGCAGAUCUCUGGGCCGUAACUGACGCUGAGGAGCGAAAGCAUGGGAGCAAACAGGCUU
rnacentral:rRNA from 1 species